CAGGAUGAACUCAGAGAGACAGAAAAGCAGAGAAACAACCGGAAGCCGGGCGACCAGCAUCCGGAAGCUACGCAGCACAGAGAAAAGAAAAGGAGUACUUUCUAUCCGCCGGUGUAGCAACAUUCUCUCGUACUUCUCAACGCACCCUUAGUUAAGCGCAUGCGCUUCUAGGGAGACCAAGCCUCUCUUAUCGAUUGCAGAGCAACGGAUGCAUGAUGGUGGCGUCUUAGAAAAGGGUUGAACCAACUUUUGCGUGCAAGUGCAGUCUCUCAGCUUAGCUCUGAUUUCGCUAGCUCUUUUAUUGGCGAAUUAGGCUAGGGUAGAGAGCAACAAGGACGGGCGGCUACCAAUACCCCAUACACAAGAUGGUUCAGUUCCAUGACUUUUCAUUAUUAGGGUCGCUUAACCCAUGACUUUUUAUACACAGAAAUAAUCUCUGUAAUAACCGUUUGUGGUCGUCCCUAGAGAAGUCUCUACUUUAUCACAUGUACACUUUACAUGGCUCAGGAAGCGGAGAGGUGGCAGGCACAAAGCCACCAUUAGGCGUGCUCUCACUUGGCACAUGCAGACACUAAAUGACCUGCUUCAAGACCAGAAACGGUUGCUUGCACACUCCCUGACUCAGCUAUGUGAUGAAGAGGAGACAGAACAUGUGCUAAGCGCCCACUCUUCUAGAGGUGAUUGAAUGACAGCACGAUUAAAGGCAAUAGCAAUUACACUGACAAUAUUAACCAAGUGGAUCCCUUUAGUCCUGAACUGUAAGAGCUGCCACUGCAGCUUUUCAAAGCCUGUUAAUUCCGAGUGAGGUAAGAAUCUGUCAGUCCAUUCAUCUUACCAGAAGGCCAAGAACUUUCUGUUGGAUAGACGAUUCUGUUGGAAAAGACUGUCAAAAAAACACAAGCUUUGGAACCCAACAGAGAAAAACCUUUCUUCAAACCACCAUUUUGAGGAUCUAGUCAGAGCAACUGUAAUAAUAUUUCAAGAAUGCAGAUAAACUAGCCAGAGUGCGAGACGACAAGCGUUUGCCAGGACGACGACAUACUAACAGAUCUGAUAUACAAGCCUGCCAUUUUCAAUUAUUUCGCUUUCACCAGCUUAAGGGAAUAAUGCAACACUGUGAAUCACCUUCGGCACUGACAAAAAGCAGGCUCAGUGGGCUUGUACAUACUCCUCCAGCAAAUUUUAAAAAUAGGAAUGCCUGCCAACUACUUCUCAAACUAAGGAAAGUCGUUUCUUGCCUUUACACCAAACGGCUUAGAAGCAGUACGCCUUUAUUUUAGUCUCAGUCGCUUAGAGACUGAGGAAUCUGCACCCCUGAUGCACUGCUGGUGGUCCUACAAAGACCCUUAGAAGGAACAAAAGCAGGCUGCGCAUACCAUACGUGAAGGAGAAGUGAAUUCCCUAAAGCAGAGGCAAGCAGACUUCCCUGGUCAAACUGUGGUCUGAGAACAAGGAUGUUUUAGAACAAGGUCACUCUCACCUUCUCAGAACUCCAAGCACAAGAACGAAAAUACAUUUCCCUGGAAACAUUCUACUUAAGUAUCAUCAUCAUCCAAGUAAAAUUCCAUGUGGGUGCAAGGUGCUAGCAACAAUCCUAAAAGUCAGAUUACUUAUUAAAUAUCUGUCAGCAUUUUCUUAUGCAACGCCAAGAGACACAGCUCUCUGUUUAAUUACACAAUGGGGGGGGGGGACCUUCCCUAGCCAGUUACUAUUUUUAGAAAGUGAACUACAAAUUGACCCAUAGAUACCACCGCAGUAUUCCCAAAUUCAUAAGUUGUGACAUCUACAAUAUUAAUUGCUUCCUUCCUAAUUCUGAGUUAGGCUGGGGUAGACUGGAUGGUUUAAAACGUGGCUCCAGUGUGUCACGUAACAGACAUCUUGUUAUAUAUAUAUUUUAAAGGUAAGCCAAACAACUGUGUCCUUGGUAAUAUAUCACCAAUCUAACGGGAACUGUAUUCUGUACACAAUUCUACUAAGAACAGUGAACAGAAAGCUGCAGACAUACAAUUGUCAGCAUCCUGCCAUUAUGCUCCUUGAACAAAAAAUGUUAAAACAAUGUAUUGUGUGUGUUUAAAUUAAGUUAUAUUUCUAACAAAGGUGGCAUAGAAAAAGCCUGGAUCUUAAAAGCAGAAUUAUUAUGUAUAUUCUAAAGACUUGGAAUCUAGGACUAAUUGUCACGAUAGCAAAAUCACAUAUCAGAGUUCUAUUACAUUGGGCUGCAGGUGGGGGAGAAAAGGGAGGCUGCAGGUCUGAACGUUCCCCUACAAAAAACUCCCUGCAAGUAGAAAGCUAUCACAUGAAGGAGAAUUGAUAGUCUUUAUACACUAGCAUUCUAAUUCGAGGCAGUUUAUUUUAUAUGAGAGAAGGCACUUUCAAAGGCCUGAACCGAUAAACUCCGUCAAAGUGGGCUAUCACCUGCCUUAUUGCUGGAUGGGGGUGAGAAUGUGGCCUGUAGAAUGGUGCGACAAAGAUUGUUUGAUACAGCCACUCAGAACAAGAAGGCUUGUUUGCCAUCUUUUUACAAAUCUUUAUAUACCAAGGUGGAUCUUGCCCCGGCAACAUAUCUAUUCACGAUCACCUCAAGUAAAUUCCGAUGGGCAUUCUCUAGAUUGAAUGCUUUCCCAUCGGUGGUGCUUUAUGGGAAAUAUAUUACCCUAUGAAGAAUGGAAGUGCCCCUGUGGUGAGGUGGUUGAAACCAUGGCCCACAUAUUGUUAAAGUGUUCAAUCUAUCAGGAGAUUAGGUAUCAAUUGAUUAGCCCAUUGAUGAAUGACUUGAUGAGACAAUCCGACGAUCUUGUUGUAAGACAUUUACUGGCUGAUAAAGAUGCAACAACUUCUUAUGUAGUAGCCAAAUAUUGUUAUGUGGCCACUAGAUUGAGAAUCUUAAAGGAAUAGUUGAUUAUAUAGUACUGUGUGUCUUAAUGUAUAUAUCUUUUUUUUAAUUAAUGUGUUCUGUUAAUCUUUUUGGACAAAGACCUUCAAUAAAUGAUGAUGGCAUAGUGCCUGCACCACA